rnacentral:rRNA from 1 species
CAGUAGCCACGGUAAUACGUAGGGGGCUAGCGUUGCUCGGAAUGACUGGGCGUAAAGGGCGCGUAGGCGGAUUGUUUAGUUAGGCGUGAAAUUCCUGGGCUUAACCUGGGGACUGCGCUUAAUACAGGCAGUCUAGAGUGAGGAAGAGGGUUGUGGAAUUCCCAGUGUAGAGGUGAAAUUCGUAGAUAUUGGGAAGAACACCGGUGGCGAAGGCGGCAACCUGGUCCUUGACUGACGCUGAGGCGCGAAAGCGUGGGGAGCAAACAGGAUUAGAUACCCCCGUAGUCCCUGUCUCUUAUAC